GCUGAAUUACCCAGUCACCCAAAUCCAGAGCAGGCAGGCUCUAUUUCAAUUCUGUGGUUCCUUGUAUGUGUGAUUAAUGGUGGAGCCCAGGCCAAAAGACAAGCAUCGGAAUGCAAAGGACCACCCACGAAGUGGCGUCUUUACUGCAUCCUGAACUGGAGACCUCUGGCUCACUACUGCUGCUGCAGUUCUGCUGAGACCAUAGAAGAAUCUCAGCACUGACCUGUCAGUGUUCCCUCUGGCCUCCAAAGUCCAGGAGAUCAGUCACACUGUCUUUGAGCUUGAGUUGAGGCCAAUGCUCAUUUUAUUCCUACUCCAUGGAGACUGUUGUCAGUGAAAGGCUAAUAGGGGACACACACAGUGCAGCUCUGGACCCUGGGACUUGGAAAGACUUCCUGAGCAAACUUGCUAUGUGAACCCACCUGACUCACUUCCUGCUCAGCUCCUCUAAGAAGGGCAAUCCAUCUGGUAGUCUGCUUGGCAGAGUUAUGGUGAUCUUCAUCUUUCAGAGUUCCUCUUUCUACAGCUCACCAGUGAGAGAAUGAUGGAGUGGAAGCCAUAGGAACUACAGGGAGAAAUGGAAGAGAAGCAGAAUGUGCCAGGAGCAGUCUGGUCUCUUUGGUGUUUUAGAAAGUUGACCACAGCGCAGAGUCAGGCAAGCAGCACCCUACUGGGGACCCACAAUGGAUCCUGGCCUAUGCCAUUUUAUGUACCCUACUGGGAAGAGGGAUGAGUUCUGCUGGGGAGCCUCCUCUUGCUACAGAUGGCCCUACUGUGAGGGUGAAACCUGCAUAUAAUAGACAAUGCAUUUAUUCACUUGGCAUUCAGCAACCCCCAACCACCAAACAACCCAGGCAUGGUCAAGCAAGUAUGGCUACCGGGAAAACUGGAGAGCUUUAGCCAGACCCAGUAG
rnacentral:lncRNA from 1 species